UACGUAGGGUGCGAGCGUUAAUCGGAUUUACUGGGCGUAAAGCGUGCGCAGGCGGCCCGUUAAGACAGGUGUGAAAUCCCUGGGCUCAACCUAGGAAUUGCGCUUGUGACUGGCGGGCUCGAGUACGGUAGAGGGGGGUGGAAUUCCUGGUGUAGCAGUGAAAUGCGUAGAGAUCAGGAGGAACACCGAUGGCGACGGCAGCCCCCUGGGCCUGUACUGACGCUCAUGCACGAGAGCGUGGGGAGCAAACAGG
rnacentral:rRNA from 1 species